UACAGAGGUCCCGAGCGUUGUUCGGAUUCAUUGGGCGUAAAGGGUGCGUAGGCGGCGGGGCAAGUCUGAUGUGAAAUCCCGGGGCUCAACCCCGGAACUGCAUUGGAUACUGCCUUGCUAGAGUACUGGAGAGGGAACUGGAAUUUACGGUGUAGCAGUGAAAUGCGUAGAGAUCGUAAGGAACAUCAGUGGCGAAAGCGACUUCCUGGACCAAUACUGACGCUCAUGUGCGAAAGCGUGGGGAGCAAACAGG
rnacentral:rRNA from 1 species